UUCCAGCUGACGAGCCCCAAAUAGGACGAAACGCGCGUUCUGGAU
rnacentral:hammerhead_ribozyme from 1 species